AAUAAUUUAUUUUCUUUUUUACCAAUUCAGGCACAAGACCUGCAUUUUUGGAGAAGGUGAUUUGUCAAUUACAUUGACCACAACACUUAACUGAUUGAUACUUUAUUAUAUCAACCCCAAAAGGAUACGUAGCAAAGCUGAGAAUACAAUUUGAUCUCAGGAUGUAAAAAACCACAGAUGCUGCUAAGAAUCUUAGUCAACAUUCAAAUGAUCCUACCAGUCGCCACCCUUAUACAUAUGAUUGUUACUAAUUUAUGCACAGAAGCUAGCAAUUU